CGGCGCUACCGCCGGGGAGCGAGACGGAGCCCUGGGAGGGCCGCAGGGCGGAGCAAUAGUAGAGCUAAGUAGGGUUCGGUCGGGCGUGGAUGCUAGGUGGCGGCCGGCUGGGUGCUGGUAGACUAGAGCGUCCGGGGACUGGACACGACUCACAUCGUAGCCUCCAGGUGUGCUGCUGCCUCUCUGCGGUCCUCCGGUGCCUCCCAGCUGAGCCUGCAACAGCCCUCUGCACUCCCUCAAGAGCAGCACCAUGAACACACCUCAGGAUAUUGCUUUAAAAAGCCAGAAGUAAUCUUCAGGCUGGAACAAGGAGAAGACCGAUGGUUAUUACAGGAUGAAUUGCUGAAGAGGGACCCAGGUGAGCUUUGGAGGACUGACAGAAGGUAUCCCUGGAAAAUGAAAUCCAGAAUGAGAAUAGUU
rnacentral:lncRNA from 1 species